rnacentral:rRNA from 1 species
UGGGGAAUAGUGCACAAUGGGCGCAAGCCUGAUGCAGCCAUGCCGCGUGUAUGAAGAAGGCCUUCGGGUUGUAAAGUACUUUCAGCGGGGAGGAAGGGAGUAAAGUUAAUACCUUUGCUCAUUGACGUUACCCGCAGAAGAAGCACCGGCUAACUCCGUGCCAGCAGCCGCGGUAAUACGGAGGGUGAAAGCGUUAAUCGGAAUUACUGGGCGUAAAGCGCACGCAGGCGGUUUGUUAAGUCAGAUGUGAAAUCCCCGGGCUCAAACUGGGAACUGCAUCUGAUACUGGCAAGCUUGAGUCUCGUAGAGGGGGGUAGAAUUCCAGGUGUAGCGGUGAAAUGCGUAGAGAUCUGGAGGAAUACCGGUGGCGAAGGCGGCCCCCUGGAAGAAGACUGACGCUCAGGUGCGAAAGAGUGGGGAGCAAACAGG